rnacentral:rRNA from 1 species
CCUGAAAAAUAGGCAUAGGGGGUCCUGCCUGCCCAGUGACUGAAAAGUUAAACGGCCGCGGUAUCUUGACCGUGCGAAGGUAGCAUAAUCAUUUGUCUCCUAAAUAGAGACUGGUAUGAAUGGCAAGACGGAGCUUCACUGUCUCCUCCUCUUUAAUCUGAACUUCACAUUCCCGUGAAGAGGCGAGAAUUAGUUCGUAAGACGAGAAGACCCUGUCGAGCUGUAGCUAAAUUUUAAUUGUUGUUUACUAUUAGCCCUAACUAAUUAUAGUAAGAGUAGCAGGCCUAAAGCAUGACAAAUUAAAACAAGCUUUGAUUGGGGCAAUCCCGGAGAAAGAAAAUCCUCCGCUACUAUAUGGUUAUAUUAACCUAAAAUAAAAGAAUUAUUUUUCUUAAAUCAUAAAAAUGAAGGUAUGAUCCACUUACAGUGAUCAAAAGAACAAG